rnacentral:lncRNA from 1 species
CAGCCUUCUGAGUAGCUGGGACUACAGACACCCACCACCAAGCCCAGCUAAUUUUUUGUAUAUUUUAGUAGAGACAGGGUUUCACUGUGUUAGCCAGGAUGGUCUCGAUCUCCUGACCUUGUGAUCCGCCCGCCUCAGCCUCCCAGAGUGCUGGGAUUACAGGCAUGAGUCACAGUGCCUGGCCCAGGUCUCACUUCUUUUUUAAGCUGGAGCAGAUUGAGUAUGGCCGGAGUGUAAUGGCACUGCUCACUGCAACCUUUGCUCACUGCAACCUCCACCUCCUCAGUUCAAGCAAUUCUCCUGCCUCAGCUUCCUGAGUAGCUGAGAUUACAGGUGCCUUUCACCAUGCCUGGCUAAUCUUUUGUAAGGAUCUGGGGGAAGCCAGUUGUGCUUCUUAAGGCCUCCCUGUUGAGAGACUCAUGCCAGUGAACUUGGAAGCAGAUCUCCUAAAGCCUCUCAACAGCUACAGAAAUUAACUUGAAAGGAGAUCCUCUAACCAGCUGAGGCUUGAGAUGACUGCAGCCCUGGCCAGGACCUCAGUCGCAGGCUGUGAGAGUCCUGGAGCCAAAAUCACCCAGAGAAGCUACUCCUGGAUUCCCAACACAGACCAUUGAAAUAAUAAAUGUUUAUUGCUUUAACCUCUAAGG